AGUGAACGCUGGCGGUAGGCCUAGCACAUGCAAGUCGAACGGCAGCACAGUAAGAGCUUGCUCUUACGGGUGGCGAGUGGCGGACGGGUGAGGAAUACAUCGGAAUCUACUUUUUCGUGGGGGAUAAUGUAGGGAAACUUACGCUAAUACCGCAUACGACCUACGGGUGAAAGCAGGGGAUCUUCGGACCUUGCGCGAUUGAAUGAGCCGAUGUCGGAUUAGCUAGUUGGCGGGGUAAAGGCCCACCAAGGCGACGAUCCGUAGCUGGUCUGAGAGGAUGAUCAGCCACACUGGAACUGAGACACGGUCCAGACUCCUACGGGAGGCGGCAGUGGGGAAUAUUGGACAAUGGGCGCAAGCCUGAUCCAGCCAUACCGCGUGGGUGAAGAAGGCCUUCGGGUUGUAAAGCCCUUUUGUUGGGAAAGAAAAGCAGCAGGUUAAUACCCCGCUGUUCUGACGGUACCCAAAGAAUAAGCACCGGCUAACUUCGUG
rnacentral:rRNA from 1 species